rnacentral:rRNA from 1 species
AGCGCCAGGGAAUUACGAGCAACGCUUAAAACCCAAAGGAUUUGACGGUAUCCCAUCCACCUAGAGGAGCCUGUUCUAUAAUCGAUAACCCCCGCUACACCUAACCACUCCUAGCUUAUCAGCCUGUAUACCUCCGUCGGAAGCCUACCAUGUGAACGUUUACAGUAUGCUUAAUGAACACCACCAAAACGUCAGGUCAAGGUGCAGCUUAUGGACUGGGAAGCAAUGGGCUACAGUUUCUAACCUAGAACACACGAAAAACUAUGUGAAAUCAUGGUCACGAAGGCGGAUUUAGCAGUAAAAAGAAAAUAGAGUGUUCUUUUUAACCCGGCCCUGGGAUGUGUACACACCGCCCGUCACCCUCUUCAAAUGUACUUAUUCUGUUUCUUAACUCACCCCUACACCUAUAGAAGAGGCAAGUCGUAACAUGGUAAGUGUACUGGAAAGUGCACUUGGCAAACAA